rnacentral:lncRNA from 1 species
CAUUUUCACAAACAUUUUCCCAAAGGAGUUAGCCUCUCAACUUGCCACGCCACUCGAUCCUAACACGUAUGCAAAGUUAGAUCGCUCAAGUGGCACUAGAUGACCGAUAUGCAAACAAGUUUGCCCCUCUUGAUAGUAUGGCCAUCUAUCCUAAAUCCGGUCAUAAACUUCUCUACACACCUAUGACCGGUGAAAUGGAAAAGCCCUAGGUUAUACCUUUGCCUUGCGCUUUCCAUUCCAUCUCCUCCAAUGUUGAUGCAACACAUGCAUCAACC